rnacentral:rRNA from 1 species
GAGUGAAGAGGGAAGAGCCCAAGAUUGAAAGCUGGCGCUUCGGCGUCCGCAUUGUAAUCUCAAGAAGUGUUUUCCGCUUCGGACCAAGCCUAAGUCUCCUGGAAAGGAGCAUCAUAGAGGGUGAUAAUCCCGUACAUGGCUUGGAGCGCCCGUAGCUUUGUGAUACAUUUUCUAAGAGUCGAGUUGUUUGGGAAUGCAGCUCAAAAUGGGUGGUAAAUGCCAUCUAAGGCUAAAUAUUGGGGAGAGACCGAUAGCGAACAAGUACAGUGAUGGAAAGAUGAAAAGAACUUUGAAAAGAGAGUUAAACAGUACGUGAAAUUGCCAAAAGGGAAGGGUAGGAGGUCAGAGAUGCUUUUGGGGAUUCAGCCUUGCUUUUGCAUGGUGUUUUUCCCUUCAGGCAGGCCAACGUCGGUUUUGGGCACUGGAGAAGGGUGGAAGGAAUGUGGCAUCCCUCGGGAUGUGUUAUAGCCUUCUACUGGAUACAGCGACCGAGACCGAGGACAGCAGCGUACUCGCAAGAGCGGGCCUUCGGGCACCUUUACGCUUAGGGCGUUGGCAUAAUGGCCCUCUACCACCCGUCUUGAAACACGGACCAAGGAGUCUAACAUGUAUGCGAGUCUUUGGGUGGCAAACCCAUAGGCGCAAUGAAAGUGAAUUCAGGUGGGAUCCGCAAGGUGCACCAUCGACCGAUCCUCACGUCUUUUAAGUCGUGGAUUUGAGUAAGAGCAUACCUGUUGGGACCCGAAAGAUGGUGAACUAUGCCUGAAUAGGGUGAAGCCAGAGGAAACUCUGGUGGAGGCUCGUAGCGGUUCUGACGUGCAAAUCGAUCG